UCUCUGGUAGUAUAUCGGUUAGUACACGCGCCUGUCACACUGCACGUUAAUAUAUAUUGCUGUGCGCGCGAAAGCGGGGUUCGACUCCCCGCCAGAGAG